GAUGAACGCUGGCGGCGUGCCUAAUACAUGCAAGUCGAGCGAACAGAUGAGGAGCUUGCUCCUCUGACGUUAGCGGCGGACGGGUGAGUAACACGUGGAUAACCUACCUAUAAGACUGGGAUAACUUCGGGAAACCGGAGCUAAUACCGGAUAAUAUAUUGAACCGCAUGGUUCAAUAGUGAAAGACGGUUUUGCUGUCACUUAUAGAUGGAUCCGCGCCGCAUUAGCUAGUUGCUAAGGUAACGGCUUACCAAGGCAACGAUGCGUAGCCGACCUGAGAGUGUGAGCGGCCACAGUGGAAGUGAGACACGGUCCACACUCCUACGAGAGGCAGAAGUAGGGAAUCUUCCGCAAUGGGCGAACGUCUGACGGAGCAACGGCGCGUGAGAGAAGAAGGUCCUCAGAUCGUAAAACUCUGUUAAUAGGGAAGAAAAAAUGUGUAAGUAACUAUGCACGUCUUGACGGUACCUAAACAGAAAGCCACGGCUAACUACG
rnacentral:rRNA from 1 species